AGGAUGGCUGGAUGCUGCCUACCACCCCCUCCCCUUCCUAGCCCUGCCGGGAGAACCACCGGUGCCGUGGCCCCUCUGGAUUACCUUGUUCCAAACGUUUAUCACCGCUGCCGGCCUGGACACUGUUCCGGAGUGGAGGUGUUCUGCUCCGUCGCGUCAUAUUCCGACGCAGGCGCCAACGUCCAUGGGAGUCAGUGGAGAGGUUCGCGGCUGAAUUAGGGAUGCUGGCUACCAUGUGCAAGUACGGGGCGUUACAGGACGAAAUGAUAAGGGACCAACUGAUACUGCACACAAAAAAUGAAUUAAUUAGGCAAAGGCUGUUACUGGAAAAUAAUGAUCUAACAUUAACAGCAGCUCUUAAUCUAGCAGUUCAGGUUGAAUCUAAAUCUGGUUCAUGGUCGUUGUCUGAAUAUAAUGAGAUUGCGAUUGUUUAUGUCAUUUUAAUGGUCUUUUGUAUUUUCGUAGCAUGCGUAACAUUUCUGAUCGGUCCUAUGUUAAAAAGUUUAAUCUGAAACGAUUGACGUGGUCAAAAGUCCAACCACAGCGAUGGCAACGGUUAUCACAUCUCUCGGCGUGGACCUUGACCUGAGAGCAGUAACUAGGCCAUAAUCACAAAAGACACAAAUAGGCUACCCUUUGUUCGCAAAUCUAUGUAGCGCUAUCACCAAAUGACUAUCGGCCCAUAGGCCUAUAUCUGCUGUGCCAGUGCAUUGAGAAAGUCAAAGACUUUCUCAAAAUUUCCUUCCACUAAAUGAGGACAAAACCGAGAUGGUACUAAAAUGAAAACCUCCCUGAGGAUUUACUUGCCCCAACUCUGACCACUUUUAAAAACAGGACUGAAGACUUAUAUGUUUGCUUUUAUUUAGUUUGCCUUUGUUUUCUUUUAUUGAUCCAUUUUAUUUAAUUUCAUGUUAUUGUAUGACAAUGUUUUUAUGUGAAGCACUUUGAUUCUGCCUCGUGUAUAAGAAGGGCUAUAUGAAUAAAGUUGCCUUGCCUUGCCUUUGUCCAUGACAGAGGAGCUCACCGCCCAGUUCCA
ensembl:lncRNA